rnacentral:rRNA from 1 species
AGGGUGCAGGGCGGAUGCCUUGGCACUAGGAGCCGAUGAAGGACGUGAUAAGCUGCGAUAAGCUUCGGGGAGUUGCACGUAAACUUUGAUCCGAAGAUUUCCGAAUGAGGAAACUCACUUAGAGUAAUGUCUAAGUAUCAUUAAGUGAAUACAUAGCUUAAUGAGGGGAACUCAGGGAACUGAAACAUCUAAGUACCUGAAGGAAGAGAAAGAAAUUCGAUUCCGUAAGUAGCGGCGAGCGAACGCGGAUUAGCCCAAACCAAUAAAGUUUUCUUUAUUGGGGUUGCGGACAUAUCAUAACGAAGAGGUAUCGUAAUUGAAGAGGUUUGGAAAGACCCACCACAGAAGGUAAUAGUCCUGUAUGUUAAACGAGAAGACUUUAGAUAUGAUCCAGAGUACCACGGGACACGUGAAACCCUGUGGGAAGCAGGAGGGACCACCCUCCAAGGCUAAAUACUACCUAGUGACCGAUAGCGUAUAGUACCGUGAGGGAAAGGUGAAAAGAACCCCGGGAGGGGAGUGAAAUAGAACCUGAAACCCUGCACUUACAAGCUGUGGAAGCACAUUUCUUGUGUGACCGCGUACUUUUUGUAGAACGGGCCAACGAGUUACGUUAAGUAGCAAGGUUAAGCACUUAAGGUGCGGAGCCGUAGCGAAAGCGAGUUUUAACUGAGCGUUCAGUUACUUGACGUAGACCCGAAACCGGGCGACCUACCCAUGAGCAGGAUGAAGCGAAAGUAAAAUUUCGUGGAGGUCCGAACCCACGAGCGUUGAAAAGCUCGGGGAUGACUUGUGGGUAGCGGUGAAAUUCCAAUCGAGCCCGGAGAUAGCUGGUUCUCCCCGAAAUAGCUUUAGGGCUAGCCUCAAGGUGAGAGAUACGGAGGUAGAGCACUGAAUGUCCUAGGGGGUAUUGCACCUACCGAAGACUAUCAAACUCCGAAUGCCGUCAUCUUAUACUUGGGAGUCAGACUGUGGGUGAUAAGAUUCAUAGUCGAAAGGGCAACAGCCCAGAUCGUCAGCUAAGGUCCCUAAAUGUAAGUUAAGUGGUAAAGGAUGUGGGAUUGCACAGACAACCAGGAUGUUGGCUUAGAAGCAGCCACUCAUUCAAAGAGUGCGUAAUAGCUCACUGGUCGAGUGAUCCUGCGCCGAAGAUUUCCGGGGCUAAAACUUACUACCGAAGCUACGGCAUCAGUAAUGAUGGGUAGGGGAGCUUCCCAUACGGGUUGAAGCAUGACCGUAAGGACAUGUGGACAGUAUGGGAGUGAGAAUGUUGGCAUGAGUAGCGAGAUGUGGGUGAGAAUCCCACAGGCCGUAAACCCAAGGUUUCCAGGGGAAGGUUCGUCCGCCCUGGGUUAGUCGGGACCUAAGCUGAGGCCGAAAGGCGUAGGUGAUGGACAACAGGUUGAUAUUCCUGUACUACCGAUAACCGUUUGAGAGAAGGGAUGACACAGUAGGAUAAGCUAAGCACACUGUUGGUUAUGUGUGCCCAAGCAUUGAGGCAGUCAAAGUAGGCAAAUCCGCUUUGAUAAUGCUGGGAUGUGAUGGGGAGCGAAAUUUAGUAGCGAAGUAGCUGAUUUCACACUGUCAAGAAAAGUCUCUAUCGAGGUUAAAGGUACCCGUACCGCAAACCGACACAGGUGGGUGAGGAGAGUAUCCUAAGGCCAGCGAGAGAACUGUUGUUAAGGAACUCGGCAAAAUGACCCCGUAACUUAGGGAUAAGGGGUGCCACCAUCAGGUGGCCGCAGAGAAUAGGCCCAAGCGACUGUUUACCAAAAACAUAGGUUUCUGCUAAGUCGCAAGACGAUGUAUAGGAGCUGACGCCUGCCCGGUGCUGGAAGGUUAAGGGGAUCUGUUAGAGCAAUCGAAGCAGUGAACUUAAGCCCCAGUAAACGGCGGCCGUAACUAUAACGGUCCUAAGGUAGCGAAAUUCCUUGUCGGGUAAGUUCCGACCCGCACGAAAGGCGUAACGAUUUGGGCACUGUCUCAACAACAGACUCGGUGAAAUUGUAAUUCCGGUGAAGAUGCCGGAUACCUGCGACAGGACGGAAAGACCCCAUGGAGCUUUACUGUAGCUUGACAUUGGGUCUUGGUACUACAUGUACAGGAUAGGUGGGAGGCUUUGAAACCAGGACGCCAGUUUUGGCGGAGCCAUCCUUGGGAUACCACCCUUGUAGUACUGGGACUCUAACCAUAGGCCAUGAAUCUGGUCUUGGGACACUGUCA